CGCUCCUCCCUCCCUCGUCGGCCACUCGGCCCCGAGCCACACGCACACCCAAUCCCCUCCCCUCCAACCCUAGCCGCCCCGCUCCCCUCCCUCUCCACGGCGCCGCCGCCGCCUCCUUCCCUUCUGCCCUGCUCUCCACCGUGCCGCCUCUUCCUCCUCUUCACUGCCCUCUCCAGCGGCGGCAAAGAACGGCAGCGCUCGAUCCGAUCUGCUGAAGAGAAUAUGAGAGAGGGAGAGAGACAAGGAAGGAGAGGAGGGAGAAAUAUAGAGGAAAGAGGAGAGCGAGGUGUGACGGCGGAUGAGAGAGGGUGACCGGAAGGAGCGUGACGACCUGCAGACAAAGGGCGGUGGCGGCGCCGCUCGAUUUGAUCUGCGGGAUAGAGAAGAUGAGAGGGAGAGAGAGAAGGAAGAACAUGAGAGGAGGGAGAAAGAGAGAGGAAAGAGGAGAGGGGGUCGACGGCCAACAGGAGAGGACCACCGGAAGGAGUGCCGCCGGCUCGUCGUCUUCCACCGCCGGCGUCGGCCUGCACCGGCGAGGUCGGGCGGGACCUUGCUUCCAGGGCGGCUUGACCACAGUCUACAGAACAGUAAAAAUGGAGGAUUUGGGGGCUGCUCAGUUUUGGAGUAGCAAACCAUGGAGGAUAUGGGGCUGCACGUGCUUGGAGCAGCAAGCCAUGGCAAAGAAGGUGAAUAAGCAACACAUACAUUACUGCCAGGGGUGGCUGUUUGUUUACUGAAGGGGGUGUUGAUCUGCUGCCCCUUGUUCUACACUCUGUCCAAGAUAGGGAGGCAGAAGAGAGGACAUGUUGAAGAAUCAAGGGGGACAACCACUAUUCAGUUUUUCUUUGUUAUUGCAUUACAGGAUUGUAGGGUGUUUAGAUUUUAAAUGCUGGCAUUGAUCGAGCUGUUAACUGGUUUUUAGUUCUGAUUAGAUGCGAAUCAUGUUUUAAUUAUGAUGAGAUGCAGAAAUUGUUGAGACAGGGCAUGAAUGGUAUAUAUUUUAGCCGUGCUUUUAUUCCCUUUUGCCCUUUCCAAAGGGACUACUCUACUUUUGUUGACCAUUAGUAUAUAUUUUUCAGAUCCAGAUCCAUUUAUCUAAUGAGAGGUGUAUCAGAGAAAUAAAAAAUAUAUUGAACUACAGUUCGUGACUUUAUGCGAAGAAUUCUAAGGGAGCAAGUCAUUUUACUGGGGCUAAUAAACCCAUACCCCGCAUCUCGUCUGCCCCGGGUGCGGAGGCGAGCUUCCCGGCGAUGGCGGCAGCGCUGGAUUCGAUCUGCAGGAGAGACAGGGAGGUGCGGCUUCAAAUGGGAGAGGGUCUUGAGACAGCUUCACAAGUAUUUAUGAUGAUCGUUUGCAUGGGCCUGCAGAUCAGCUGGGAGGAGCAGUGGCAAGCAGCAGCAGCGGUGGCAAGUAGAGGCAGUGGGCAGCAGAAGCCCAUACGCAUCUGCUAGGCUGCGUGAACUGUAGAUCGAUUGAGUGCCCGACCAGGAUUUAACUUGGCUGCUAUAAGAUGGAGGGGUCCUCAGCCGGAAUCUCCAUCAAUUUGCGUCCUUGGGCCAUAAUCUCCAUCAAAUUCCGUCGAAAUUUGCACGAAGCGUCCAAUGUCGCCACAGAGUUUGCCGGAGGAACAAGAACAUUGGUCCGUCCAGUGUCGCCUGCAGCGGCUACACCAAAGUUGCUAUGUCUGACGAUCACACCAAAUCAGACGCUGCACUUGAACACUAUAAACAACAGAUCAGAUUUGUUGUUGUCCGGAUAAAUGUUCAGUCAUUCCCUGUUGGAACAAUCAAAUCUUGAUGUCGGUUCCCAAUUGAGUUUCCUUCUAUUUACGAACUUAGGGCCACAUGAACAAGGAUCAUGCGGACGCUACAAAACUCAUCGUGCAACACUCAACCUCUGUUAAGGCAAGUACAAUAUAGAGCUUACUUACGUGGUAUCUGGUCAUGAAUGCGACUCUGCAAGAUAUACUAGAAAACAAGUUGUAGCUAUAUUAGUUUGUGAAACAGUUAUACUAUUUAUCUUCUGUUGAUUCCAUACUUAAGUUUCUUUUUGUAACCAAAUAACUGUAGUAUUUUAGUUAUUGGAUUGUGUGUGCUCGGUCACAAUGAUAUAUUUAGUUGAAGAUAGGAAUGUUUUAGUUCAAGCAUAUGAUAACUUGAGUGCAGCAGUAGAUAAACAUUCACUUACAAAUUCUACUCCAAAUGGACAGUAAUAGUAGUACGUGGGCAGUGUAAAAUGUGUUUUUGUUAGUUCAGUGAAAAUUAGAGAUCAACCUGAUGGUACUUCAUUUUUAUUCUAAUAUGCCAAAUGCUAUUAAGGAAAUGAAGUUUCUUCCUCGAUCAAGUUAUCAGUCCUUGGUUCACUCUUGCCCUUUGCGCUUGAUGAGACGGGUGAGGAGGAGGAGGAGGAGGAGAGUGUGGGGGCAUCUGGAGAGGAGCGAGGGGUGAGAAGAUGAGAGGGAGAGAGAUAAGAGGUGGGACGUGAAGGGGAGAAGAGGGGUGUGGCAGGGCCGGACCUCCUGCCCGGACAAGGCACGCGGCGGAUGCGCGACGUCAUUUCUUUGGGACAUGCUGGGCUUGCUUUCAUCCUAUAUGCGCAAGAUAGAAAAAACAUCAAGUGGAGAUAUGGGAAAAUCUGGGCUUAAGAAUGGUUGAGUUGUGGAUAUUUUGCUCAAAGCAUUCUGGAGUCAGAGGAAUUAGCUCCAUACACCUUGUCAAUGGUGUUGCUGAACAGGAUACCACAUAAGUUGGGCUGGAUGAUGAAAAUUCUGCUCAAAUAAGAUCUAAGCGCAAGAGUAAAGACAAAUUCAUGAACCUCACACCCAUGAGCUCAGGUUUGUCCAACCUAAACAAAGCACAGACAACAGAGCUCGUUACCUCAACAUGUGAUGUUAGAGGCACGGAAAAUCAACAAGUUCAAUGCACAAAUAUGGUUGUUGAUCAGCCUACAUGGGCUGGGAAUCUUGUGAGCAAUUCUGGUGAUGUUUCUACAUUUCUUAGAAAGCUAAUUGACCAAGGAAAAGUUAGUGUUGGUGAUAUACAAUCAGAACUGAGUCUCUCAUCUGAAUCGUUGGAAGCUGCUCUUGAGAAAAUUGGGGGCAAAUCAUGGCUGGAGCAUAUGUGAACUUGGCCUCCGGUCAUUUAUUCAGGAGAGGGAGCUACAACGGCAGGAGAAGAAUGCAACGAGGUGCGGUCUUCUGUUCGAUGCCAAGGGCCUAUCCGGCAGCGAUUUCCUCUGUGAGUACUCCACUACAUGCCUUCCGUCGAAUCCUGAAGAUGUUGCUAGCGUCUUGAAGGAUUACUUAUAUUUGCUCCCUAAUUUCCUGGAUUAUACCAAAUAUGUCCUGGUACAUUAUAUGGGUAUUGCAUCGCUUGUACUUAUAGAGGAAAGUGGGCUAUACUUGUUCAGCUCAAGAGCAGGUUGAUUACAGAGCAGCAGGAACCGAAGAAGGAAGAGAGUAAAUGCAGAGGAUGUGCGUGUGAAGUCGCAUUAAGUACCUGGAUGUCCUCGCAUUGAUGAUCUUGAUCAUGGCUGACCGACGGCGCGAGAGGAACUAUGUGGUUUUCCUUCUCCUCGUGAGCUCCGGUUAGAGAGAAGUGAAAGUGAUUGUGGUGGUGGUAAGAGAGGAAGUGGGGAAGGCAGCGCUUAAUUAGAGGAGCGGAUGAGGCAUGUAUUCCAAUGGUGAACAGGGUUCAUGAGGCUUUGUGUCUAUAUGUACCACCUGUCUUGAACUCUAUCUGUGUGUUGGCGCCAGCGCUACGCGCCGCCUCUCCGACUCCUCACUCCGUCCUCGUCCACGGUGGCCGCCGCCACCCUCACCUGCGCUCGUGCCUUCUUCAUCUCCGGCCGCGAGCUCCACCCCGUCCAGCCUCAUCUCCCCAGAUCUUCUUGAUUUUGAUCCGGGAGCAUACGGGUGCGGAUCAAAGCGUUGGUGGACAGGUUCGCGAAGGAGCUGCAGGAGGCGCUAGACGCGGACAUCCAGAAUCGCAUCAUGAAGGAGCGGGAGAUGCUAGCUACAUCAGGAGCGCAAACACGAGGUCGCCGAGAGGGAGGCUGUUUGGAAGGCCGAGGUCUCCCACCGCGAGUAAGGGAUCAGUUGCUGAAUUCUGGUGCAUUCCUGGGUAUUCUUGGGAGAGGAACACCUGGCGGCGUCUAGUACGUUGGUGAGCUUGACGACAACUGUUAAUGGGGCAAUGAGGUGAAGCUCUAUGAGCACCAAGUAGACAAUCUCUUUGCUAUGUUUUGGCACAAAAAGCCGGACAUCAACUACUACGUCUGCACAAUCAACAAGACGUUUGCCAAACCAGGCCAGCGCAUGUAUUUCCAGGUUAACUAUACUGAAGAGAACCUGCUCGACUACAUUGAUCCAAAGAAUGAUACACUCAUGGUCAGACUUGCAGAUGGCCAUUUGCUCGCCAAGUGUUGCAUCAUGGUAGCAAGUGACAAGAGGGCCACUAUAACCACCAACUGGUCUGAGUUUCGUCGUCGCGCCAAUAUUCGUGAAGGAGACAUCUGUGCAUUUCGUUUCAGGAUCACUUCAAAGCGCCGCCUGGUUCUCACCGUGCACCGCCUCUAGAUGCACAAUUGAAGACGCUGCAGCCCCUGUGUCAAUAUAAUCUAAUAUAAUGCACUACUAAGUACUCCUAAUUAUGCUAUAUCAUGUCAUGACCUAUGGUCCUCUUUUGUGCACUCUUAUAUCAUGGUUUUCAAGACCUAAUACUUAUGUUAAAAGCAAUGUUAUUAGUCAGUCGUUUCAUGUCCAGAUCC